GUACCCUCAAGCUUUGCUUGGUGUUGGGCGUCUUGUCUCUAGCUUUGCUGGAGACUCGCCUUAAAGUAAUUGGCAGCCGGCCUACUGGUUUCGGAGCGCAGCACAAGUCGCACUCUCUAUCAGCAAAGGUCUAGCAUCCAUCAAGACCACAUUUUUAAC
rnacentral:misc_RNA from 1 species